AGUGAACGCUGGCGGUAGGCCUAACACAUGCAAGUCGAACGGCAGCACAGUAAGAGCUUGCUCUUACGGGUGGCGAGUGGCGGACGGGUGAGGAAUACAUCGGAAUCUACUUUUUCGUGGGGGAUAACGUAGGGAAACUUACGCUAAUACCGCAUACGACCUACGGGUGAAAGCAGGGGAUCUUCGGACCUUGCGCGAUUGAAUGAGCCGAUGUCGGAUUAGCUAGUUGGCGGGGUAAAGGCCCACCAAGGCGACGAUCCGUAGCUGGUCUGAGAGGAUGAUCAGCCACACUGGAACUGAGACACGGUCCAGACUCCGACGGGAGGCAGCAGUGGGGAAUAUUGGACAAUGGGCGCAAGCCUGAUCCAGCCAUACCGCGUGGGUGAAGAAGGCCUUCGGGUUGUAAAGCCCUUUGUUGGGAAAGAAAAGCAGCAGGUUAAUACCCCGCUGUUCUGACGGUACCCAAAGAAUAAGCACCGGCUAACUUCGUG
rnacentral:rRNA from 1 species